CAGCAGCCACGGUAAUACAGAGGGUGCGAGCGUUAAUCGGAUUUACUGGGCGUAAAGCGCACGCAGGCGGUCUGACAAGUCAGAUGUGAAAUCCCCGGGCUUAACCUGGGAACUGCAUUUGAAACUGUCAGGCUGGAGUCUUGUAGAGGGGGGUAGAAUUCCAGGUGUAGCGGUGAAAUGCGUAGAGAUCUGGAGGAAUACCGGUGGCGAAGGCGGCCCCCUGGACAAAGACUGACGCUCAGGUGCGAAAGCGUGGGGAGCAAACAGGAUUAGAUACCCCAGUAGUCCCUGUCUCUUAUAC
rnacentral:rRNA from 1 species